UUUCCGUAGGUGAACCUGCGGAAGGAUCAUUCAUAAUAAGUGUUUUAUGGCACUUUUUUAAAUCCAUAUCCACCUUGUGUGCAAUGUCAGGGUUGAUUUUCUCUCGAGAGGAUCAGCCCCAAACAUCAACUAUAUCUCAACUCUUUGUCUGAAAAAUAUUAUGAAUAAAACAAUUCAAAAUACAACUUUCAACAACGGAUCUCUUGGCUCUC
rnacentral:misc_RNA from 1 species